GAUGAACGCUGGCGGCGUGCCUAAUACAUGCAAGUCGAGCGAACAGACGAGGAGCUUGCUCCUCUGACGUUAGCGGCGGACGGGUGAGUAACACGUGGAUAACCUACCUAUAAGACUGGGAUAACUUCGGGAAACCGGAGCUAAUACCGGAUAAUAUAUUGAACCGCAUGGUUCAAUAGUGAAAGACGGUUUUGCUGUCACUUAUAGAUGGAUCCGCGCCGCAUUAGCUAGUUGGUAAGGUAACGGCUUACCAAGGCGACGAUGCGUAGCCGACCUGAGAGGGUGAUCGGCCACACCGGAACUGAGACACGGUCCCGACUCCUACGGGAGGCAGCAGUAGGGAAUCUUCCGCAAUGGGCGAAAGCCUGACGGAGCAACGCCGCGUGAGUGAUGAAGGUCUUCGGAUCGGAAAACUCUGUUAUUAGGGAAGAACAAAUGUUUAAGUAACUAUGCACGUCUUGACGGUACCUAAUCAGAAAGCCACGGCUAACUACGUG
rnacentral:rRNA from 1 species